rnacentral:rRNA from 1 species
CCUACGGGCGGCAGCAGUGAGGAAUAUUGGUCAAUGGCCGGAAGGCUGAACCAGCCAAGUCGCGUGAGGGAAUAAGGCCCUAUGGGUCGUAAACCUCUUUUGUCAGGGAGCAAAGGCGGCCACGUGUGGACGAGAGGAGAGGACCUGAAGAAAAAGCAGGGGCUAACUCGGUGCCAGCAGCCGCGGUAAUACGGAGGAUGCGAGCGUUAGCCGGAUUUAUGGGGUUCAAAGGGUGCGUAGGCGGAGUGUCAAGUCAGCGGUAAAAUUUCGGGGCUCAACCCCGUCGUGCCGUUGAAACUGGCGCCCUUGCGUGCGUUAGAAGUCAGCGGAAUGCGUGGUGUAGCGGUGA